rnacentral:tRNA from 1 species
GGCCCGUUCGUCUAUCGGCUAGGACACGUCCCUUUCACGGAUGAAAGAGGGGUUCGAUUCCCCUACGGGCUA